UACGUAGGGUGCAAGCGUUAUCCGGAAUUAUUGGGCGUAAAGAGCUCGUAGGCGGUUUGUCGCGUCUGCUGUGAAAACUGGAGGCUCAACCUCCAGCCUGCAGUGGGUACGGGCAGACUAGAGUGCGGUAGGGGAGAUUGGAAUUCCUGGUGUAGCGGUGGAAUGCGCAGAUACACGAGGAAGACACCGAUGGCGAAGGCAGAUCUCUGGGCCGUAACUGACGCUGAGGAGCGAAAGCAUGGGGAGCGAACAGG
rnacentral:rRNA from 1 species